GCGGGGGUUGCCAAGUCAGGUCAACGGCGCAGCGUUCAGGGCGCUGUCCCGCAGGGGUUCGAGGGUUCAAAUCCCUCCCCCCGCACCA
rnacentral:tRNA from 1 species